AAAAGACCAAAAAUCUACCCUUCCCUCCCAAAUUUGAUCCGACCCAUUUCCUUUAAAAUCUGCCCAAGCACAAAACAACCAGCCUCUUUCCCAUCUUAAAAUCGGGCCCAACAAACUACAACCCACAGAAGCCAAGACUCGACCCGACUCCUCUUUACAUUGCCUUCCCUUUACCCGAUUAAACACAACCACCAAAACACCCAUACAAUGACAACAACAAUAUCGAUAAACAACAGCAACCCAAUGGCAAAAACCUAACUCGACUUCAACCCGAACCAACCCAACAGACCCGAUAUCACCGUACAUCUUCAACCACACAUCAACAACAACUCAGCAAUAAUGGUUAACACCAGCUCAUCCCCAAUAUUUGAAUCCCCAAGAAUUACAGAAUUCGUACAAGAGGGUACACUAUUUUGGACGUUUUAAUUGGAGCUAGAGAAUUCUUGAGUUUUCCCCCGGUUUUCCUAUAAAUCUGACCCUUUUUUUCUUAGUUCAUCAAAAUUGUAAGCUGAAAUUAAAGUUCUUAUCCAUGAUUCUUAAAGUCAAUUUUUUCAAUGCGUUAUCCUUAAUCUACCCUUCUGAUUCCCCCCUCCCCCCUUCCCCGAAAAAAAAAAAAAAACCAGCCCAAAUUUUUUAUAAAUAGUGGGUGAGAGGUGAGGGUUGGAAGAGGAGAUUUUGGAGGAGCAUUCCUCUAAUCACCCGUAACCAAGAGUCCAUAAAGAACUCACUCGAGAAAAUCAAAUUUCAAAAGAAAUAAAUCAAAACUCUGAUGAAAUCAUUUUGAGCUUUGGUGGAUUAGAAUCGAGUUUAGUGGUGGAAAUUUCAUCGAGAAACCUCAUUGUCCCCAGUACCUGCUCCGAAAAAGGCAAAAAACUCGUCUUUGACUCUUUUCUUCGUUGAAUUUAGCAAAAUUGUGUGGCUGAAAUUUAUAUUGUUGGACAUAUUGGGUCAUGUGACUCAUUUCAUGGGAUUGAUCUAUAUGAAAAUUUGAUAUUGGUUAAGACUUAAGCUCAGAGUUAAUAGUCAUUUGUAUGAAAAGGGUUUGAAAUGAGUUUGUGUGUUUUGUUUCUAUGGAGUUGGAUUUUUAAACUAACGUUCUGUAGUCUAAUAUUUUUCAAUUAAAACAGUGGCUAACAUGAAGUCACAAGGUUUGUGGAUUGAAUUCUUUUUGAUGUUUUGAGUGUGUUAAUUGUAUAAUGCUGUGAUUUGAACAUUUUUGAAGCUUUGUUAGUUCUUUCCUCUAAUUCAAAGCUAAAAGAAUAAAGGAAACUGUAUCAGUUGCCUAUCUUUGUUUUUAAAAGUUACUGCCAUGUGUUUCUUUGAGUGUCCACAGUUAUUUGGCUAGAUUUCUUUGUUCUCUUUUUCCCGUACCCAGUAUUUAUUUGAGGUCAAGCUUUGGUCUUGAAUAAGUUUUUCUUAGAUUCGUUUAACUCGAUAAAAAUGAAUUCUUUAAGAAGUGGCUGAAAGUUUCUUUCUCGUCUAAACCAAAUUGGAAUCCACUGAUUUCUUAAGUUUUUACAUGUAAUUCUAUUUCACUGUUAACUGUAAAUUAAUUUAAUGUGUUGCCUAUAUAUGCAGUUACUGCCUUCUUGUGAUGCGGAGUCUCACAUAUCUGGGAUUUCAGUAGGUUACUUUAUUAGGCUGGAGUUUUUGUUCUUCACAUUACCAAAGGUUAAUACUAAUUUAUUUGAAUAAAAAUUGCUCUAAAAAAUCACCCGAUUGUCCAAGAAAUAUUUCUGUUUCAUAUAGUUGCAUCUGACCUAUUUUAAUAUAUUAACUAGCUAGUUUCUUUUGUAUGUUUGACAUAUUAAGUUUGUCCGUUUUGUUCUCUGAGGUGUACCAAUUGGUCUUUGUUUAUUCUGAAGUACUGAAUUGCUUUUGGGUUUUUUCUUUAGAUCUUUUUUUUCUCUUUUGGAAUCUGGUAUGAGCUUGACGUCCUGGAUUGUAUUUGUUAGGAACAUGCUCAUUGGGUUCAUCUUUAAACUUUUCAUUCGUUAAAAAUUGUUAAAUUCCUAUCAAUAGGCAUCAUAAUUGGCAAGACAAUCUUGUUCUCUUGAAGGCUUGGGUUUUGAGUUUUAAUCUGUCCAAGCUUGUAGUAAAAUUCUUCAAUUAUAUAGCUUCUUGAUGGUAUGUUGAUCAAAAAUUGAUCUUGAGUCAAUGAAUUUGUUUGUUUGGUUUCUGUGUUAAAGUUUAGCAUAAUUAACUUGUUACCUUUAUCAAAAUAUCUUGACAUAAUUCAUUUCCUUUAUUUCUUCGAGUAUAAACUCUUAAUAAAUUGAUUGACUUAUUAGUAUUUGUUUACUGUGAACUUAGCGUCUUGAGUUAUGUUCGUCACUAUUAGAGGUUAUGAUGAAAAUAUAAAGAAUGUAAUUUGGUGUUUCUUAUCUAAUUGCCCUCAUUAUGUCUAAGUAUUAACUACUUAUCACUUCUUUGACACAUGUGAAUUCGUGUGAGUCCAUCGCACUCCCAUCCUUGCAUAAUUUAUGGGAUUAAUCCCCGUGCCAACGUAGCUCAAAUGGGCUAAAAUGUGAAGAAGUGGGCAAAUAUACGUUGAUAUACUCAAAGAUACAACAGGUAUACACGUAUGCACUGGAAACUAGCAGCUAUACAUGUAUACACAGUGAUAUACAGGGAAAGUAAGUGGGUUUCCACACUGGUAUAUCAUGUAUACACAGUGAUAUACAGGGAAAAUGCGAGGAAAUGGAGCUAUGAUAUAUAGCCAGUACACACGGAGCAAAUAGACCAAAAGCUGGCCAGAUUUGAAAUGGGCCAAACGGGGGCCCAAUACUUGAUCUUCUCUUCUUUAUUUGUAAAUUUUUUAUUUAAAAAUUUGUUAUAAGGGAUUCAUAAAUUUGGUUAAAUCAAAUUAAAUCUCCUUUGAAUCAUUAUUUUUAUUUAUCUCUGUAUUUUUUAAGUAUUGUUUUUCGCAUAGCGUAAUGUUCGAAAUUAAUAAAAAAAUAUAUUUUUCUUUAUGUUUUCUCUUAAAAUGAACUUUUGAAAAUUAAAAUUGCAUUUUACUUUUGUUCAUGUGACUAAAGGUUUAUUUAGCUUAAAGUGACCCUUUUCAACUUCAAAAAUUAAUUAUCUCAAAAAAUUCAAGCGUUUAUAAUUCGAUUUGGCGUUUUCAUAAAUGUUAUAUUUUGUAAAAAAGCCGCUUUCUCUUUCGGCUAAAAGGUGAUUUCUUUUCUAAAAGAUAAUCUUUUUCUUUAAAAUGUAUAUUUUUCUCAAAUUUUAUAAAAAUUCAAAAUUAGGUUAAAUGAAUUUUUCUUUAAUUGGAAUAAUCUAAUUUUUACUUGAAUAAAAUAAAUAUCAUAUUUUGUAAAUGAAUUUUAAGACUUUACAA
rnacentral:lncRNA from 1 species